rnacentral:lncRNA from 1 species
AUGACGGAACAGCCUGACAAUGUCAGGGCUCGGUCCUGCCGCCGUGCCCAGCACGCUGCCCCGGGCACACGGCAACCCGAGCUGCCAGGGGAAAGUUGCGAGAAAAAACACGCAGGGAACUCAACACCGGCGGCGUGCCUCGCCUGGAAAACCUGGCGUUUGGGGCACGGGCACAAGUUUCUCCCGAGCAGCCCCCCGGGGCCGCCUCGAGGAGGAGGAGGAGGAACAUGGCAGGGGGCUGCGCUGAGGGGACCGCGCCGUGAGGGGAGCCUCCCCGCGCCGCCCCAGGCCCCCAGCCCGGCCCGGAGACCGCCUCAGGGCUUGGGGAAGAGCCCAAAGUUUCCCCCCCGCUCCCACCGCAGCUCAACGGAAAGUUACCGGCGCGGGGAGGCGACGGCGAGGCGAGGGCCGCCCGCCGUCCUCAGCUCCCCCCUUCCCGCCGCAGCCCGGCGUGAGGGGCGGCCCCGGAGCCCGCUCCCACCACCGGGCAGCCCCGCCGCGGCCCACGCCGGCGGCCCCUCGCCCUUCCCCGCCGCCCCAGGCCCUACAUACCGCUCUCCGCUCGGGGAAGCCCCCAGCCCCGGCCCGGUGACAGCCCGCCGAGCCCCCCACCGCCACCACACGCCUCGCCCCGCAGCCCUCACCUCAGGCGGGGGCCGCGCUCCCCGGGGCAGGGGGAACGGCAGCCGGCGGCGCCUCCUGCCCCCCGGCGCCGAGGAGCGGGAGGGCGAAGGGGCGCAGGGAGGGCGCUGGGUCCCCGCGCCCUUAUCGCAUGGCAGCGGAUCCCCCGCUCGCCCUCGGCGCCCUCGCCGCGCUCACCGCCGCCCCGCCGUGUGGGCGGCUCGGCCGGGAUCCCCCCUCCCCUGCGCGCCGCCUCCUGCCGCCGCCAUCUUGGCUGUCAGGGGGGGCGGCGGGCGACGGCUCGUGAUCGCGGCGGCGUCGGGAUUUUUAUUUUUGUUAUUAUUUUUAUUUUCCUUCCUUGCCCCUCUCCCUUCCUUCUGCUCCUCAGGCCGGCUCGCCGAUGUGGAGGCCCCGGCGCCCAGCUCCCCUCCGAGGGCUCCAGAGGGGGGAGGCCCGCGGCCAGGAGCGGGCCCGUGGCUGAGGGGCCCCGGCCCUGCGUUCCCGCCGCACUCCUUCCAUCGCCCCUCAGAGAGCGGCGAGGCGCCGGCGGCUCCUUCCCUUCAGUGUGAGGGGGGAGCAGGACCCCUCGGGUCAGCGAAACCCUUCCAGUCCAAGCCUAAAACACGACGGACCGUUUGCUCGACUCUCCUCCCCCCUCUGUCCUCCAGCUUCUCCCUCUCCAGCACCUUUAAUUUAGCCAGAAAUUAA